rnacentral:rRNA from 1 species
CAGUCGCCGCGGUAAUACGUAGGGUGCAAGCGUUAAUCGGAAUUACUGGGCGUAAAGCGUGCUCAGGCGGUUUGUUAAGACAGAUGUGAAAUCCCCGGGCUCAACCUGGGAACUGCAUUUGUGACUGGCAAGCUAGAGUGUGGCAGAGGGGGGUGGAAUUCCGCGUGUAGCAGUGAAAUGCGUAGAUAUGCGGAGGAACACCGAUGGCGAAGGCAGCCCCCUGGGCCAACACUGACGCUCAUGCACGAAAGCGUGGGGAGCAAACAGGAUUAGAUACCCCAGUAGUCCCUGUCUCUUAUAC